rnacentral:rRNA from 1 species
GACAGAGGGUGCAAACGUUGUUCGGAUUUACUGGGCGUAAAGCGCGUGUAGGCGGCUUUGCAAGUCGGAUGUGAAAGCCCACGGCUCAACCGUGGAAGUGCAUCCGAAACUGCAUGGCUGGAGUCCCGGAGAGGAAGGUGGAAUGCUUGGUGUAGAGGUGAAAUUCGUAGAUAUCAGGAGGAACACCGGUGGCGAAGGCGGCUUUCUGGACGACAACUGACGCUGAGACGCGAAAGCGUGGGGAGCAAACAGG